rnacentral:tRNA from 1 species
GGAGGGAUGGCCGAGCGGUCAAAGGCAGCAGACUGUAAAUCUGCCGACGUACGUCUACGCAGGUUCGAAUCCUGCUCCCUCCACCA